GGAGGUUGCAGUGAGCUGAGAUCACGCCAUUGCAACAAGAGUGAAACUGUCUCAAAAAAACAAAAACAAACAAACAAACUACUUUUGAGGAAUUCAAAAUAUCCAUUAUCAGUUUGUCAAAGAUGUAGUAAAGACAUUUUUAUUUAAUUGAGUGUAUCUCAAAUUUAUUAUGGAACUCUCAGUCCCAAUAUCUGGAAUAGGAACUGUUUUCAUAGAUGCUACCAUAACCACAAUGAAUGUCUUCAUGGAUUUAAUUUUAGACAUUAUGGUGAGUGGAUGUGUUGGGCAGGAGUAAGUCAGGGCAAUUUUUUGCAGCUCACAUCGUGCUCUGAAACUAGUUACCUGGUUGAAUGGAGGGUUAGUGCUUUUCUAUAGAAUAGAAAAUAUUCCAGCCCAAUCCUCAAUAUGUUUGUAUUAAACACGUUUAAAUAUUAUUUUAAAUGAUGGUUAAGGACAUAAAUGAGUUUCUGAGGUAAUAAAGAUGCUAUAUUGAAUA